rnacentral:rRNA from 1 species
UAGGGAAUCUUCGGCAAUGGACGCAAGUCUGACCGAGCAACGCCGCGUGAGUGAAGAAGGUUUUCGGAUCGUAAAACUCUGUUGUUAGAGAAGAACAAGGAUGAGAGUGGAAAGUUCAUCCCUUGACGGUAUCUAACCAGAAAGCCACGGCUAACUACGUGCCAGCAGCCGCGGUAAUACGUAGGUGGCAAGCGUUGUCCGGAUUUAUUGGGCGUAAAGCGAGCGCAGGCGGUCUUUUAAGUCUGAUGUGAAAGCCCCCGGCUUAACCGGGGAGGGUCAUUGGAAACUGGGAGACUUGAGUGCAGAAGAGGAAAGCGGAAUUCCAUGUGUAGCGGUGAAAUGCGUAGAUAUAUGGAGGAACACCAGUGGCGAAGGCGGCUUUCUGGUCUGUAACUGACGCUGAGGCUCGAAAGCGUGGGGAGCAAACA